rnacentral:tRNA from 1 species
GCUGGUGUAGCUCAGGUGGUAGAGCAACUGAUUCACAAUCAGUAGACCGGAGGUUCGAAUCCUCUCUCCAGCACCA